rnacentral:misc_RNA from 1 species
GAUGAAGAACCAGCGAAAUGCGAUACGUAAUGUGAAUUGCAGAAUUCAGUGAAUCAUCGAGUCUUUGAACGCACAUUGCGCCCCCUGGUAUUCCGGGGGGCAUGCCUGUCCGAGCGUCAUUGCUGCCCUCAAGCACGGCUUGUGUGUUGGGCCUCCGUCCUCCUCCCGGGGGACGGGCCCGAAAGGCAGCGGCGGCACCGCGUCCGGUCCUCGAGCGUAUGGGGCUUCGUCACCCGCUCUUGUAGGCCCGGCCGGCGCUUGCCGACACAUCAAUCUUUUUUCCAGGUUGACCUCGGAUCAGGUAGGGAUACCCGCUGAACUUAAGCAUAUCAAUAAGCGGAGGA